rnacentral:rRNA from 1 species
CAAUAGCGUAUAUUAAAGUUGUUGCAGUUAAAAAGCUCGUAGUUGAAUUUUUGCUUGCCGCCGAUGUCGGAACCUCCGUACGUUCGGCGGCGUGCAUCCUUGGGUGGAACCUGUGUGGCAUUAGGUUGUCGUGCAGGGGAUGCUCAUCGUUUACUGUGAAAAAAUUAGAGUGUUCAAAGCAGGCUUACGCCGUUGAAUAUAUUAGCAUGGAAUAAUAAGAUAGGACCUUGGUACUAUUUUGUUGGUUUGCGCACCGAGGUAAUGAUUAACAGGGACAGUUGGGGGUAUUCGUAUUCCAUUGUCAGAGGUGAAAUUCUUGGAUUUCUGGAAGACGAACUACUGCGAAAGCAUUUACCAAGGAUGUUUUCAUUA